ensembl:lncRNA
AGAAGAUCCAAAGAAUUUAAAGUCAGAAGGUCUACUAAACGCAUUUACCCAAAGAAUAACAAGUACAAACAGUAUUGAGUAGCAUUCCCAUACUAGGGCUACACUGUAUAAAGGGAAGCAGAGCUUGCCAUUGUAACUGUCACCAGAAACCUGAAUACUGGGAGAAGGAAACAAACUAGCAGGGACUAUGCAGCACUGCCUUACCGAGCCAUCCCUGAGUGCUCUGCCUCUCUUGUAACGGAGCUACCAUAUCCCACUGCAGAGCAGCUAAUGCCAUGUACACCCUGAGAUCUACACUCACAGGACUCCCCCUCUUUGGUCACCCAUGCACUGCACAAUCCUCCUGAAGGAUUCAAGUAUAUGGAAGAGGUGGCACAUCACCCACAGAAUCAGUCACCCCAACAGUCUACACUCCUCUGUGUUCACAGAUUUGAAACACAACACUUAUCCAUGGGCAGAAGCCGAAAGCUCCCAUUCGGUCUGUAGAAAGAUAUCCAAACUCAAGCUGAAAACAUCGAGAGCUGGUUAAAUCCAGCCCUGCCCUCCUUUCUUCCUCACAAUGGCUACUCACCUUCACCGUUUAUCAUUUAUACCUUUCAGUUCGAUGCCAUUCAGCUCCACGCUCCAGCCACUGGAUCUUGUUACGUGUAAACUGAAUGAAGCACUGCACCUCAGUAAGAAAGUAUUCACGUGGGGUUAAAAAAGAGGUGCUUCUCACUAUUUCUGCUAAUAUGAACAGAGGUUCUUUAAGCGUUAAUUAAGACAUUAGUAAAAUAUUUCUUAACUCUUUUCCACACUCUUCCUUGUUUAACAAUGACUUUUACAGACAGAACUUCAACAUUAGAAUUACCACGUGCUUAGCCAACAUGUCCUCCUUGCUCCCAUCAGUAAAACACCUUUAGGAAAAAAGAUAAAUCAAGGAAUACAUUACAUAUUUUUUAAUCAAAGCAUUACACUGGGAGCUGCUGCUGAACUGCUUGUUCAUAUUUAUAUCCUACCAGUCAAUAAAUUUGGGGAUACAAUCCCAAGCUUACAUUCCUUAUCUUCAAUGCAUUGCUUUGAAUAUGGAUGCACUAAGGUGCACUUUGUUUUACUAGAAAACUUCAGAUGAAUUCUAGAUGGUUUUGUACAGUUGUGCUGUCCUCCCUGCUUAGCACCUACCCAUCCUGUUCGCCUCCAAGUUACAUUAAUGGCAAUUUUGUUAUUACUUCCAAUUCAUUCAUGAAAAAAGUCUUGAGUCUAGUACACUAACUCCUCUAAGACUUUCAGGAAUAAUUCUCUCUAGCAACUACUUCCAAGAUUAGUUAGCCAGCAUUUUUCCAUCCAUUUAUCAUAUACUGUAAGAUCAUUCUGUAUUACAUGAGCAUUUCAUUACUUUUCGUACUUCCCCACUAAAAAUAUUUAUAUGCUUCACUGUUGCACUAGUCAUCUUGCAACAAUACUAGUAGAAAACAUGGGAUCUACAUUGACAUACUAAACUGAGCUUGUGGUCAGAAUGAGAGAACAAAUAUCCUUUGAAGCAAGAGUCCAUUAUUAUAUAAGUUCGGUUU